rnacentral:rRNA from 1 species
UACAGAGGUCUCAAGCGUUUGUUCGGAUUCAUUGGGCGUAAAGGGUGUGUAGGUGGCGCGCUAAGUCGGGUGUGAAAUUUCGGAGCUUAACUCCGAAACUGCAUUCGAUACUGGGCGGCUAGAGUCUGGAUAGGGGAUCUGGAAUUCCUGGUGUAGCGGUGGAAUGCGCAGACUAUCAGGAGGAACACCGGUGGCGAAGGCGGGAUCCUGGGCCAGUACUGACGCGUGAGGAGCGAAAGCGUGGGAGCAACAGG